GGGUAUUGAAGUAAAAAAAUUACAUUUAGUUUCGACCUAAACUUAGAAAUAAUCUUCCUUGCCUA
rnacentral:tRNA from 1 species